rnacentral:rRNA from 1 species
AUUGAACGCUGGCGGCAUGCCUUACACAUGCAAGUCGAACGGUAACGGGCCUUCGGGUGCCGACGAGUGGCGAACGGGGGAGUAAUGCAGCGGAACGUACCCUUCAGUGGGGGAUAACGUAGCGAAAGUUACGCCAAUACCGCAUAUUCUGGGAGCAGGAAAGCAGGGGAUCGCAAGACCUUGCGCGGAUUGAGCGGCCGAUGUCAGAUUGGCUAGUUGGUGAGGUAAAUGCUCACCAAGGCGACGAUCUGUAGCGGGUCUGAGAGGCUGAUCCGCCACACUGGGACUGAGACACGGCCCAGACUCCUACGGGAGGCAGCAGUGGGGAAUUUUGGACAAUGGGGGCAACCCUGAUCCAGCCAUGCCGCGUGAGUGAAGAAGGCCUUCGGGUUGUAAAGCUCUUUCGGCCGGGAAGAAAUCGCACAGGCUAAUACCUUGUGUGGAUGACGGUACCGGAAUAAGAAGCACCGGCUAACUACGUGCCAGCCGCCGCGGUAAAAC